ensembl:lincRNA 1700010I02Rik RIKEN cDNA 1700010I02 gene
CUGACCUAGGAACCGGGUCAGUAUCUUAGAGAAGAAAUGAUCAUCUGGAUUACCUAGAAUGAACUAUGAGAACUGAUGACAAGGUAGCAUUUUCCAAAUUUGAUGCCAAACCUUCACUGUCAAUGGUGUCCCUACCCAGGGCAUUUGGGAUAGUAUGAGUAACAAGGCAAGGCAGUGUCCUAGAGCACAUCUUUAAUCCGAGCACUCAGGAGGCAGAGGUUGGAUCUGUUGUAACCAUUCAGGAGGGGUCUUUCAGGGUGAGUCUAAACAGAGAAGAGAAGAAGAGAAGAGAAGAGAAGAGAAGAGAAGAGAAGAGAAGAGAAGAGAAGAGAAGAGAAGAGAAGAGAAGAGAAGAGAAAAGAAGAGAAAAGAAGAAGAGAAGAAGAAUCUCUGUGGAAAUAUUUGCAAAGUCAUAGCAAAGGAUAAUUGAAUUACACCUAUUGACAUGGGAAUAAAAGUUUUAAAUUA